rnacentral:misc_RNA from 1 species
GCCUGGGGGGUCAGCAGCUACUGCCCUGUCUUGGCUGUUAGCGUGCUGGACUCUGCGGACAUAGAGGUCACAGACAGUCGCCUGCCUCAUGCCACUAUUGUGGAUCACCGGCCCCAGCACCGUUGGUUAGAGACAUGUAACGCACCUCCCCAAUUGAUCCAGGGUAAGGCACGUAGUGCUCCGAAGCCAUCCCAGGCCUCUGGUCAUUUCUCUGUGGAGCUGGUUCGCGGUUACGCAGGCUUUGGCCUCACCUUAGGUGGGGGCCGGGAUGUAGCUGGGGACACUCCGCUGGCCGUGCGCGGGCUGCUGAAGGAUGGCCCAGCACAGCGCUGUGGUCGUUUGGAGGUCGGGGACCUCGUGCUCCACAUCAACGGAGAGUCAACGCAGGGCCUCACCCAUGCCCAGGCCGUGGAGCGGAUCCGAGCUGGAGGCCCCCAGCUCCACCUGGUUAUUCGUCGGCCUCUGGAGACCCACCCUGGCAAGCCUCGAGGGGUGGGAGAGCCCCGAAAAGGAGUUGAUCGCAGCCCAGAUCCUGGAGGGCCGGAGGUAACGGGGUCUCGCAGCAGCAGCACUUCCCUAGUUCAGCACCCUCCAUCCCGGACGACGCUCAAGAAGACCCGGGGCAGCCCGGAGCCUAGUCCA